UACGGAGGGAGCUAGCGUUGCUCGGAAUUACUGGGCGUAAAGCGCACGUAGGCGGCUUUCUAAGUCGGGGGUGAAAUCCUGGAGCUCAACUCCAGAACUGCCUUCGAUACUGGAGAGCUCGAGUCCGGGAGAGGUGAGUGGAACUGCGAGUGUAGAGGUGAAAUUCGUAGAUAUUCGCAAGAACACCAGUGGCGAAGGCGGCUCACUGGCCCGGUACUGACGCUGAGGUGCGAAAGCGUGGGGAGCAAACAGG
rnacentral:rRNA from 1 species